UCAUAUCUAGCUGCAAAGCAGUGGAAAACUUUGUAGACGAACAGUUUGCACAGUAUUUUAAGGAUGAAAGUGGAGUUAAUAGAAGAAAUAUUCAAGACAGUCGAGUCCACUGCUGUCUAUACUUUAUAUCUCCCUGUGGCCAUGGGCUAAAACAAGUGGAUGUAGAGUUCAUGAAACAACUUCAUGAAAAGGUGAACAUAGUUCCCAUCAUUGCCAAAGCUGACACACUGACUGCUGCUGAAGUAUACAAGUUAAAAAACAGAGUACUUCAAGAGAUAGAUGAACAUGGCAUCAAAAUUUAUGAGUUUCCGGACUGUGACAGUGAUGAAGAUGAAGACUUCAAACAACAAGACAAGGAACUC